rnacentral:rRNA from 1 species
GAUGAACGCUGGCGGCGUGCCUAAUACAUGCAAGUCGAACGAAACUUCUUUAUCACCGAGUGCUUGCACUCACCGAUAAAGAGUUGAGUGGCGAACGGGUGAGUAACACGUGGGCAACCUGCCUAAAAGAGGGGGAUAACACUUGGAAACAGGUGCUAAUACCGCAUAACCAUAGUUACCGCAUGGUAACUAUGUAAAAGGUGGCUAUGCUACCGCUUUUGGAUGGGCCCGCGGCGCAUUAGCUAGUUGGUGGGGUAAAGGCUUACCAAGGCAAUGAUGCGUAGCCGAACUGAGAGGUUGAUCGGCCACAUUGGGACUGAGACACGGCCCAAACUCCUACGGGAGGCAGCAGUAGGGAAUCUUCCACAAUGGGCGAAAGCCUGAUGGAGCAACGCCGCGUGGGUGAAGAAGGUCUUCGGAUCGUAAAACCCUGUUGUUAGAGAAGAAAGUGCGUGAGAGUAACUGUUCACGUUUCGACGGUAUCUAACCAGAAAGCCACGGCUAACUACGUGCCAGCAGCCGCGGUAAUACGUAGGUGGCAAGCGUUAUCCGGAUUUAUUGGGCGUAAAGGGAACGCAGGCGGUCUUUUAAGUCUGAUGUGAAAGCCUUCGGCUUAACCGGAGUAGUGCAUUGGAAACUGGGAGACUUGAGUGCAGAAGAGGAGAGUGGAACUCCAUGUGUAGCGGUGAAAUGCGUAGAUAUAUGGAAGAACACCAGUGGCGAAAGCGGCUCUCUGGUCUGUAACUGACGCUGAGGUUCGAAAGCGUGGGUAGCAAACAGGAUUAGAUACCCUGGUAGUCCACGCCGUAAACGAUGAGUGCUAAGUGUUGGAGGGUUUCCGCCCUUCAGUGCUGCAGCUAACGCAAUAAGCAUUCCGCCUGGGGAGUACGACCGCAAGGUUGAAACUCAAAGGAAUUGACGGGGGCCCGCACAAGCGGUGGAGCAUGUGGUUUAAUUCGAAGCAACGCGAAGAACCUUACCAGGUCUUGACAUCUUCUGACAAUCCUAGAGAUAGGACUUUCCCUUCGGGGACAGAAUGACAGGUGGUGCAUGGUUGUCGUCAGCUCGUGUCGUGAGAUGUUGGGUUAAGUCCCGCAACGAGCGCAACCCUUAUUGUUAGUUGCCAGCAUUAAGUUGGGCACUCUAGCAAGACUGCCGGUGACAAACCGGAGGAAGGUGGGGAUGACGUCAAAUCAUCAUGCCCCUUAUGACCUGGGCUACACACGUGCUACAAUGGACGGUACAACGAGUCGCAAGACCGCGAGGUUUAGCAAAUCUCUUAAAGCCGUUCUCAGUUCGGAUUGUAGGCUGCAACUCGCCUACAUGAAGUCGGAAUCGCUAGUAAUCGCGGAUCAGCAUGCCGCGGUGAAUACGUUCCCGGGCCU